rfam:Otolemur garnettii contig083816, whole genome shotgun sequence.
GCCAGGUGCAGUAGCAUGCACCUGUAGUCCAGCCACUUGGAAGGCUGAGGUAGGAGGGUCGCUUGAGCCUGUGCUGUGCUGAUCAGGUGUCCACACCAAGUUCUGCAUCAUUAUGAUGACCUCCCAAGGAGUGGGGGACCCCUAGGUUGCCUGAUAAUAGGUGAACUAGCCCAGAUCAGUUUUAGGUUAAAACUCCCAUGCUAGUCAGUGGGAUCCUGUCUGUGAAUAGCCUCUUCACUUAAGCCUGGGCAACACAGUGAACCCUAUCACUU